UCAUCAGCAGGAGAUUGUUGUGAUCCCAUGAGCACCUUAUCAUGCCCUGCAUAUGACCAAGAACCACAAGGUACACAGCUUGGAGAGCAGAAGGGUUUCUGCAGACACUGCUCUGCACUGCAGUGUGAUGCAACCUCGGCACAAGAGCAAGACCUCAGUUCCUGGAUAUCUGCUUGCAGAUAAGAAGCUCCAGACUGGCCACUCUGCUUCCCAAGGACAGGAAAUGUGUAGCCUCAGUAUCUGGCCUGGGAGGAAGGAUAAUCCAUCUCAGUAUUUUAAUUUCUCUUUCCCUUCCUUUCCAGUUCCUUCUGACUUCCUCCAGACUCAGGUCUUUCACUUCAUACCUGUACUUCCUUCCUAUUAAAAACCUGUUGAAACCUUG